UGGGUGCUGGACCUGCCGGCACCACAGACCGGCUGCUGUGCUGCACCUGUGACUGACGCCAGGAUGCAGAGAAAGGGGCUAUUUCUAUGCUCAGUGCCCAAAGCAGUGGGCACUGGGAAUGGUUUGUAACCUGACAUGC